UACAGAGGCCCCAACCAUUACCCGGAUUUACUGGGCGUAAAGCGUGUCAAGGCGGUUGUGUUAGUCGUUCGUCAAAUCUCCGGGCCUAACCUGGAGCUCGCGAGCGAAACGGCACGACUCGAGGGUGCGAGAGGUAGAGGGAACUCACGGUGGAGGGGUGAAAUCCGUUGAUAUCGUGGGGAACACCAAAGGCGAAGGCACUCUACUGGCGCACUCCUGACGCUCACACACGAAAGCCAGGGGAG
rnacentral:rRNA from 1 species